AUUGAACGCUGGCGGCAUGCUUUACACAUGCAAGUCGAACGGCAGCGCGGGCUUCGGCCUGGCGGCGAGUGGCGAACGGGUGAGUAAUACAUCGGAACGUGCCCAGUAGUGGGGGAUAGCUCGGCGAAAGCCGGAUUAAUACCGCAUACGACCUGAGGGUGAAAGCGGGGGAUCUUCGGACCUCGCGCUAUUGGAGCGGCCGAUGGCAGAUUAGCUAGUUGGUGGGGUAAAGGCCUACCAAGGCGACGAUCUGUAGCUGGUCUGAGAGGACGACCAGCCACACUGGGACUGAGACACGGCCCAGACUCCUACGGGAGGCAGCAGUGGGGAAUUUUGGACAAUGGGCGAAAGCCUGAUCCAGCAAUGCCGCGUGUGUGAUGAAGGCCUUCGGGUUGUAAAGCACUUUUGGCGGGAACGAAAAGGACUGUGCCAAUACCACGGUUCGAUGACGGUACCCUCAUAAUAAGCACCGGCUAACUACGUG
rnacentral:rRNA from 1 species